CAAAAGCCCCCCGCUUACACCGAGGUAAUGUCUGUUCAACCCGGACCAUUUUGA
rnacentral:tRNA from 2 species